CCAGGAAAACCUGAGUAAUGGGCUGCAUAAAUACCCCCUUGUGUUUUAUUGGGGGCCAUCAAUUGAGUGUACUAUAUCUCUUGUUUAUUGGUAGGUUAGUUUUAAUAGAACUGCAUAUUUUUUCAGAAAGACUUUUUUACAGUGAUGAUUUAUGGUCUCCACAUCUAAGUAGUAGCACUUUAAUUAUAUACAUUAAAUUGCAUUGAAGUGACAAACCCUCUGGGUGCCAGAUAUUACAGUUGUACGGUAUGUAUGGGGUAGACGUCUGGUGAUGGUAGGGGAACCCCCUCUGGGCUGACUUGUACUGGGCGGAUAGCUGGUGAUGGCGGAAGGGCACCCCCUGGGCUGACUCAUACUGGGCAGAUAGCUGGUGAUGGCGGAAGGGCACCCCCUGGGCUGACUCGUACUGGGCAGAUAGCUGGUGAUGGUGGAAAGACACCCCCUGGGCUGACUCGUACCAGGCGGAUAGCUUGUGGACCCCCCUCUGCACACAGGCUGACUGGUUUGGAGCAGAAGGUGGUGCCUGACUUGUAUGGCACACAAACAUGGGCCCUUUGGCUGACUUGUACAGGGCAGAUUCCUGAUGGUGGAGAGCUGCCCCUAUUGGGCUGACUCAUAUGGAAUGGAUGGCUGGUGGACCCCUUGCUGCACACUAGCUGACUGCUGAAUGAUUUGGGCGAAGACUAGUGACUGACUUGUAAGACGUGCACACCCGGUGGUGGCGGAGGGCUCCUCAGAUGACUGGUAUAGGACAUAUUCCUGGCGGUAGUAGAGUGCUCCCCUUUUUAGAUUCAAUCGUCUGGGGUAGACUUCUGGUGGUGGCAGAGGGACUCCCAGGGCUGACUCUCACAGGCUAUUUAGGUAUAGAUAUAACUAUAAAGUUUUAAUCUAUCCUAAAUAAGUGUACGGUCAUAUGGUGACUCUAUGAGAAUUACUACCAUCUUUUGCACCUGUAUUGUCCUGAUAAUAUAUUCAAUGAAGCAAGAAGAUUUUAUCCGACUACCUGGUGCUGGACAUCCUUCGUGUUGGACUUCAUAUGGUAUCUUGUUACAAUUGCAGUGUGUUUUACAAAUUUGCCUCGCUUCAAUUUGUGCUAAACAGAUUAACCCAUGACAAAAUGGACCUCUACUGCUAAAAUAAGGUGUUUUCAGAAUCGGUGCCUAGGGCAGCACCCAUUAUAAAUAUAGCCCUGGUGGUGGGAGCAGGAAGACCAAAAACACAUCAGUGGAGUGGAGCGGAGGUCCUGUGGGCGCCUGUUAUUCUCUCCUGGGCAGCUAGAAUACAGAAGAGGGGUAAGGAUACAUACCCAAAAAACACCCUCCCUAGACAGCAAACUGAGGCUUAUUUGUACUGAACUGUCUGCUGAGCUGGUGUAUCUAAACCUGUCAUGUUUGAUACAAUGCUGAUGUGGCAUUGCACCUAAUCUCAUGAUAAUUUACAGUGUGCUGCUAAACCAGUGUGUAUAUGCCUACCCUCUGGGAUAAUGUGCUGCUGUGCCUGUGUAUCUAACCCUAGGAUAAUUUAGAUACUGCUAUUUAUCUGUUAUAUCUAAGCCUGAAUUAUUAUAGGAUUAAAGCAGCAAACUAUUAAUUGUCAUGAGACUAGAGGAAUCAACACAGACGACCUGUAUCAAAUAUGAGAACUGUAUCGCUCAUGAUAUGCUGAGAUAUGCCUGCUUAACAGACAGUAUCAGGCAUAACAGACUAAGAUACAUAGUCCAAAAUAUCAUGGGCUUAGAUACACUGGCUCACUCACAUAGUAUCAAACAUGAUAGACUUUGAUAAAACUUAUAAGUAGCAUUAUUGGAAUAAUCAUGGGAUCAGAUACAUGACCUCAGGGCUCAGUACCAGUUAUCAGUUUAGAUGCGUGUGCAUAAAGGAACUGUAUCAAACAUGAUGUGCUUAGCUACACUGGCCUAAUAGACAGCAUUAGAUAUUCUAGCCAUAGCUACACCUGCUCAAUAGACAACAUCACCAAAGAAAGGCUUAGAUACACUGGAGAAACUAUACAGACCCCCAAAUUUACCCUGUGACUAUAGUGCACGCAAGACUGGAAUCUAGAGGUGUGGGGACCACAGAAGGUUGUGCUGCCAUUUUUAUGAUGGUCGCUCUCAUGAGCCGUUUCCAUGGUAGCCAAUCUCAAAACGUGAUGAUUGAUUUUACAGUGGUGAUUUAGUCCAUGUUUGGUUAUAUUUACCUUCUCCCUACUGUAAUAUACUUUAUGGUGACAGGGCCUCUUUAAUGAAGUGGAAUUUUUUCUGCAUAUUUUGUUAAUCCACCAAUCACAGAGCAGCUUUAAUUUCUUCUAUUGCUUUUGCAAAAUGAAAGCUGCAAUGUGAUUGGAUGUUGCCCUCAAUGUCUCUAGGGCAAGCAAGGUAUGUUGGGGUGUUGUGAAGGUGUGCACAUAUACCAUGUGACUACUGCAGCCACUCAUUGAAAGCACCAGACCACCGAGGCCUGUGGUUGGCUGCAGGACAUCACAUGGCCACAUGACAUCACUGAUGUGACAUCACAAUUGUUCUUUGUAAGAAGAUCAAACACCACUGGAGCUCCUCAUUCUUCACAGAAAAGCUGAGCUGAGAGAACCUGACCGGACAUCUAGAUUCUCCAUGAAGGAAGAAGGGUCCACCAGGGCAAGCAAGGUAUGUUGGGGUGUUGUGAAGGUGUGCACAUAUACCAUGUGACUACUGCAGCCACUCAUUGAAAGCACCAGACCACCGAGUCCUGUGGUUGGCUGCAGGACAUCACAUGGCCACAUGACAUCACUGAUGUGACAUCACAAUGGUUCUUUGUAAGAAGAUCAAACACCACUGGAGCUCCUCAUUCUUCACAGAAAAGCUGAGCUGAGAGAACCUGACCGGACAUCUAGAUUCUCCAUGAAGGAAGAAGGGUCCACCAGGGCAAGCAAGGUAUGUUGGGGUGUUGUGAAGGUGUGCACAUAUACCAUGUGACUACUGCAGCCACUCAUUGAAAGCACCAGACCACCGAGGCCUGUGAUUGGCUGCAGGACAUCACAUGGCCACAUGACAUCACUGAUGUGACAUCACAAUGGUUCUUUGUAAGAAGAUCAAACACCACUGGAGCUCCUCAUUCUUCACAGAAAAGCUGAGCUGAGAGAACCUGACCAGACAUCUAGAUUCUCCAUGAAGGAAGAAGGGUCCACCAGGUAUGGAAGAUGACGACUACACAACCACCACCUACUGUACAGAGCUCAUAUAUGUCCAUGCUAGAGAGCAGUGGUCUCCAAACUGUGGAUCUCCAGCUGUUGCAAAACUACAGUGCCUAUCCGUUGGCUGUCUGGGCAUGCUGGAUGUUAUAGUUUUUCCACAGUUGGAGGUCCACAGUUAGAAGACCACUGUUCUAGAUAUAUUUCAGGAUCUGGUGGAUAAAAAUCUGAACCUUCUCUAUAAUCACAGAACACAAUGGGGGAGUUAAUUAUAGUUUUUU